rnacentral:rRNA from 1 species
AGUGAACGCUGGCGGUAGGCCUAACACAUGCCAGUCGAACGGCAGCACAGUAAGAGCUUGCUCUUACGGGUGGCGAGUGGCGGACGGGUGGGGAAUACAUCGGAAUCUACUUUUUCGUGGGGGAUAACGUAGGGAAACUUACGCUAAUACCGCAUACGACCUACGGGUGAAAGCAGGGGAUCUUCGGACCUUGCGCGAUUGAAUGAGCCGAUGUCGGAUUAGCUAGUUGGCGGGGUAAAGGCCCACCAAGGCGACGAUCCGUAGCUGGUCUGAGAGGAUGAUCAGCCACACUGGAACUGAGACACGGUCCAGACUCCUACGGGAGGCAGCAGUGGGGAAUAUUGGACAAUGGGCGCAAGCCUGAUCCAGCCAUACCGCGUGGGUGAAGAAGGCCUUCGGGUUGUAAAGCCCUUUUGUUGGGAAAGAAAAGCAGCAGGUUAAUACCCCGCUGUUCUGACGGUACCCAAAGAAUAAGCACUGGCUAACUUCGUG